GGAGGAGGAUCGUCCCCGGUGGGGCGUCCGGACUUCAAAUCCGGGUGGGGCCGUUGGCCGGCUCUUGGUGGGUUCGACUCCCAUCCUCCUCCGCCA
rnacentral:tRNA from 1 species